GGAAAAUUGAUCAUCGGCAAGAUAAGUUAUUUACUAAAUAAUAGGAUUUAAUAACCUGGUGAGUUCGAAUCUCACAUUUUCCG
rnacentral:tRNA from 10 species